AAGAAAUUAGUUUAAAAAAAACAUUACUUUGUCAAAGUAAAAAUAUAAAAUUUUAUAUUUCUUU
rnacentral:tRNA from 1 species